CGUGGGCAGGGGCCAAGAUGAAUGAGCUACUCCUGGAGCGGUCACUGGAAAUAGAAGGAGUGGCCACAGGCAGUGACGCUGGGACCAGGGCAGGAGGCCUGUAAACAAGGAAGCCACCUGGGGGAGACGCAGGGCGGCCACUGGUCCUGGGGAGCAGGUGCUUCCUGAGGCCCGCCCUGGAGAGGGCCCUGGGGGCCGCCCCGCCGAGUCUGCAGUGGGCACUAGGGGGCGCCGUCUACCGGCUUCCCGAGCCCACCGCUCCCUACCCUGGCUCCUGGGGGUGUGGCCGCCGGAGGGUGUGCCGGCCCAGAGUCCCAGGCCCUGCCUGCCCGGCCUCUCCCUCCCUUCUCCUGUCACCGCGGCCGACUGGCCAAGGGCACCAGCCCUGGAGAGGGCACAGGGCUCAGCGUGGCCAGCUCGGAUGUGAGCUCAUUCCCCCGAGACCACCAGUUCUAGUUCCUGCCCCUCCCCCAAAGGCUCGGGUCGCAGGCUGGUGCCUGGCACCCACCCCAAAGGUUGGGAGGGGGCUCGAGGCCAUCAGGCUCCAGGCCGCACUUGGCGCUGCCCCCUGGCGCCAGGGAAACAAAGGUUAGGGGCCCAGAGGGAGUUAUCUGGCCCCACCGCCACCGGGUGGGGGAAGGGGACCAAGAGGGGGCGCAGUUCCCCUCCACUCCCCCAGCCCUACUGAUUCUUCGAGACACUUUCACAGGCGGAAAUUCCCAGAGGCCAGGACCUAAACCGUUCACAACUCCCAGCAGGCCAGAGCUGCAGAGACCUCAGAUAGAGACUAUAAAGUGCUGUGGAAGCCUUGUUCAAAUAAAAACAUUCAUGAAUGUCCAGUACUUGAAAUUGUGACGGGGGUCUUGCUAGGUUGCCAAGGCUGGUCUUGAACUCCUGACUUCAAGCAGUCCUCCCACCUCAGCCUCCUAGGGUGUCCGGAUUACAGGCAUGAGCCACUGUGCCCGGCCCCCUAUCACGAUAUCCAUAAGAUGCCAGGAUGCCCAGGAACCGAGUUUGAAAGACAUUGUGCUGCUGAUCCCACCUCCUGACUUUACAGCUGCUGAAUUGCAGAAGACAAAUUGGUAGCUAACAGGAGGCUCCAUCCUGGAUCCUGCCCCUGUCCGUGAGAUUCAGCCUUGAUUAACUGUGUUCCCAUGCUGGUCGUGAGCAGGGCACCAUCCUAGGUCCUUCUUUAUACUCAUUUUCCAUCUCCAGCCAAAAUGGGUUGAACCGAGGAACAAGGACAUAAUCUGUAAAGAGCAAGUGCAAGUCUCUGCUCUGCCAUUACCAGCAUCAGGCUAAUCAAGCCCUUGGAAACUCAAUUUCUUCUCCUGUAAAAUGUGAAUAACUGUUACAGACCUGGAAAGGCUCUUGUGAGGCUGAAAUGAGAGCGGUGCCGCCCAUCUGUCAAGGUAGCCCAGGGCCUGGCGCCCAAGCAGCCCUGGGCACUUGCCCCUCUUCCCUUUUACUCUGCACCUCCUUUCUGUAGGCGUAGGACCCUGAGACCUGUCCCAGCUCAUCCCUCACAAGGCCCUCUGACUUCUUCAGAUAUCAGAGUGGAAUUGGAAGAAAGAAGCUUGCUUGAGUAGGUUUUUCUGGUUUCUUGAACAAUGGCGAUUCUAAGGAAAAGAGGUUCAGGAUGAGAAUGAGAGGAAGCCCACAGGCAUGUAGAAUAUGGCCACAGGUGGGACAAGAGUGCUUCCUUGGGAUGGGGGUCCUGGUUCCCUGAAGGAAAGGAGACAGGGCACUACUCCAGCUCCAGGAGUCUCAUAGGACAGGCCAAGAGGGCUGGGCAGACACCAUGCUGGCCGCUGAUCAGGCAUGACUCCUCUGCCAGCCUGCCCUCGCAGGCCAGCCCAGAACUUGCACAACAGUCGGCCUGGCUGGCACUCUCCCGGGAGCUUCAGGAAGUCCCCCUUGUCCUCCCCUUGACCUUUGACCCCUUGGGCCUGCUGCCGACCAGAAUACCAGGCAGAUGUUCUCUCUUUUACCUUUUGUUCCUGGUCUUUCCCUCUAAGGCUGGAACUCAGAGAUACCCCAAACCCCCAGCUUCCAGCUCAUCCUUCCCCAUGCUCUCAGUGCGGACCAGCUGGAGCCUCCACUGGGCCGCUCUCCAUGUGAGCCAGUGUGGAUCCUUGGCCACAGCCGGCAGGACGCUUGCAAGUGCCCCGACUCCAGACAUCCUCCCAGGUGUCCUUCCCGACUAGCUCCCUGUCCCAGGCCCCAGCAGGUGAAGCAGGAACAGCAGACAGAGCCUCCUUCCCUCCCCGGCAUCCUCUGAACAGUCAAAGUUGGAAGAACCCUAGAUAUUGUUCCACAUUAAACUAUGCACGCCUCGUGGCA
rnacentral:lncRNA from 10 species